rnacentral:tRNA from 1 species
UUCUUAGAAGCUUGCAAUAGCGACAAAUUUUUACUUUGUUAAUAGGGUGCCUCCCCUAAGAAA